UCCAAGGUUUUUUUUAAAACCAUUCAACUCAUUAUUUGUUAUAGCA
rfam:Monodelphis domestica chromosome 3, whole genome shotgun sequence.